rnacentral:lncRNA from 1 species
AGCAAAACACCAUCCAACACAUCUGACUUUCCAAAGAACCCUUAGGUUUCUACUUCAAUUGUGAGCUAACAUUUACCCUUUCUUCCCUCACUUGCCUCUUGCCAGGGCAUUUUAUCACAGGAGCAGAAAUGAAACUAGAACACACCUUCCUCCAGGGCCCCCCACUCAAUGAGCAACAGCCCAGGAGGCCUCGACUAACUCAGUUCAAGGAGAGUAGAGAACCCAGAAGCCAGAGCCUUCCCAUCAGACACAUCUCGGCAGUGUAGCUUGGAUGGUCUUUGUGAAGACUGCUUUGUCUGAAGUGAUGCCAGGUUCCCCUCUUACCACGUACAGUAUGUGUUUUAGAAGACACCCCAGUGAUUGGGAUUCACUACACAGAGGGAGGAGAUCUGUCAUCACUCAUACACUCGGUCACCAGUGUAAGAUGCAUCCCAGCUGCUGUGUGUGUGUUCCAUGGAUCCCUAAUCUUUCAGACAGCAUGUGUGAAGAGCGAAGCAGAGCCUGACAGGGCUGGAGCUGCAGGGCAUACCAUUGACAACUUCACACUCAUAAGGAUUUGCUAAAGGCACAGAGAAAGAAUGCAGACCCUUCGACUGUAUAGUGGCCUCAUCUAUUUUUUCAGGGUGGAUAGAACUGCAUGAAACCGAAAGUGAAAACAAUAAACACAUUACCACAAUGUUGUC